AUUAAAGCGUUGACGAGGAAAAAGUUGUAAGCAACGGUAUUCACAGAGAGCCGGCGGGGCUGAGAGCCGGCAUACCCCUUACAACGACAUCCCCUCUGAGUGCCGGUCUGAACGGAAACAAUUAGGAUCGGUCGAGUAGAAUUUACUCGUUAUCAAAAAGGACAAUAAUACAUUGUCCAUGAGGUGGCAUUUGUGAAAAUGUCAUAAACCAGGGUGGUACCGUGAAAAGAGAAGUCUUUUCACCCCUGCG
rnacentral:ncRNA from 1 species